rnacentral:rRNA from 1 species
UACGGAGGGUGCAAGCAUUAAUCGGAUUUAUUGGGCGUAAAGGGCGCGUAGGCGGAGAUAAUAGUCAGAUGUGAAAAUCCUGGGGCUCAACCUCAGAACUGCAUUUGAAACUGUAUCUCUAGAGGGUAGGAGGAGAAAACGGAAUUCCACAAGUAGCGGUGAAAUGCGUAGAUAUGUGGAAGAACACCGGUGGCGAAGGCGGUUUUCUAUCUUUAUUCC